GACGAACGCUGGCGGCGUGCCUAACACAUGCAAGUCGGACGAAGACUGUAGUAAUACUGUCUUAGUGGCGAACGGGUGAGUAACGCGUGGGUGACCUGCCCCGAAGUGUGGGAUAACAGUCCGAAAGGAUUGCUAAUACUGCAUAAUAUCCAAGAGAUUAGAUGCUUUUGGAUUAAAGGAGUAAUUCGCUUCGGGAGGGGCCCGCGUCCCAUCAGCUAGUUGGUAAGGUAAUGGCUUACCAAGGCGAUGACGGGUAGGGGACCUGAGAGGGUGGCCCCCCACAAUGGAACUGAAACACGGUCCAUACACCUACGGGUGGCAGCAGUAGGGAAUAUUAGUAAUGGGCGAAAGCCUGAUCCAACCAUGCCGCGUGAGUGAUGAAGGCCUUCGGGUUGUAAGACUCUUUCGUACGGGGAAGGAUAAUGACGUACCCGUACGAAGAAGACCACGGCGUAAAUUACGUGCCAGCAGCCGCGGUAAACGUACUACUG
rnacentral:rRNA from 1 species